rnacentral:rRNA from 1 species
AAGAAGUUAUUAGCAAAAAGAGUUUGUGGGUAAUUUUAUGUGGGCAAAUCAAUGUGAAAUAGUAAAGUUUUAGUAAAGGGUAAAGAAAAAAUAGAAUCUGUGAUAGAGUAGUACCGUGAGGGAAGGUUGAAAUAUUUGAAAAUUAGUUUAGUAAAAAGUAGACAUAGUGUUGUACCUUUUGUAUCAGGGUUUAAUAAUUAAGUAGAGGGAUCUUAAAGUCUCGAUGUGAGGAGUGCUAUGAGUUUAAGAUAGUUUAAGUGGCAAAUUAAUUAUUCAUAAAUUUAUAGUAAUGAAAUAUUAGUCGGUCCUCAAGGUAUCUAGUUCCUUAAGAAAUGAAUUUAAUUCAGAAGUUACUGGAGGUUGAAGCCAUGGUCUUCGGGUUUGGUAGUGACUUUAAUAUUGUGGGGGAUAAGCUCCGCAAUAUAGUUAAAACAAUUACAUUUAGAAAAUUAGUAGGUUUGAAAGUAGCCAUCUAUUGAAGGGUGUUAUAAUUUAUUUUCUGGUGAUUUAAUUUUAAAAUGUUUAAGGUCUGUAUUAAGGAGUAGUCUAGAAUGAAUAAGGAUUAGUUAUAAUGUUAGAAUGAAUAUAGAAUAUGAAAAGAUAGUAAAGUUUUAGGAAGGAACUCGGCAAAUAUAAUGCUCGCCUGUUUAUCAAAAACAUCGCCUUUUGUGAGUAUAGAAGGUCUAGCCUGCCCACUGAAAGAAUUAAAGGGCCGCGGUAUAUUGACCGUGCAAAGGUAGCAUAAUCAUUAGUCUUCUAAUUAAAGGCUGGAAUGAAUGGUUGGACGAGGUAUUAGCUGUCUCCCUAAAAAUAUCUAAAAUUUAACUUUUUAGUCAAAAGGCUGAAAUAUAAUUGGAGGACGAGAAGACCCUAUAGAUCUUUAUAUUUAAAUUGUUUAGUCACUUUAGAAGGGUUAAGACUUGAUAAGGGGAAUAUUUUGUUGGGGUGACAGGAAGAUAAUAAAAACUAUUUUUAAGAGAGAACAUUGAUUUAUGAAUUUAUGAUCCGUAUAAACGAUUAAAAGACUAAGUUACCUUAGGGAUAACAGCGUAAUCUUUUUUGAGAGUUCUAAUCGACAAAAAGGGUUGCGACCUCGAUGUUGGACUAAGGGUUAUUCUUGGGUGUAGAAGUUCAAGGUUUAGGUCUGUUCGACCUUUGAAUCCUUACAUGAUCUGAGUUCAGACCGGCGUAAGCCAGGUUGGUUUCUAUCCUCAAUUUGUGAUAAUAUUUUAGUACGAAAGGACCAAAUAUUAGGGAAAUUCUUUAUAAGUUGAAUAUCAAUA